GCCGGUGUAGCUCAGGGGUAGAGCGUUUCCUUGGUAAGGAAGAGGUCACGAGUUCAAUUCUCGUCAUUGGCUCAA
rnacentral:tRNA from 13 species